GAUGAACGCUGGCGGCGUGCCUAAUACAUGCAAGUCGAGCGAACAGACGAGGAGCUUGCGCCUCUGACGUUAGCGGCACACGGGUGAGUAACACGUGUAUAACCUACCUAUCAGACUGGUAUAACUUCGGGAAACCGGCGCUAAUACCGUAUAAGAUAUUGAACCGCAGGGUGCAAUGGUGAGAGACGGUUUUGCUGGCACUUAUAGAUGGAUCCGCGCCGCAUUAGCUGGUUGGUGAGGUAACGGGUUACCAAGGGAAGGAGGCGUUGCCGACGGGAUAGGCUGGUCGCCCACCCUGGAGCUUAGCCAGCGUCCAGACUCCUACGGGAGGCAGCAGUAGGGAAUCGUCGGCAACGGGCGGAAGCUUUACGGAGUAGGCGCACGUCUGUGAUGAAGGUCUUCGGUUCGUAAAAAUGUGCUAUUAGGGAAAAACAAAUGUGUAAGUAACCAUGCACGUAUUGACGGUAACUAAUCAGAAAGCCCCGGCUAACUACGUG
rnacentral:rRNA from 1 species